CCUACGGGUGACAGCAGUGAGGAAUAUUGGUCAAUGGACGAGAGUCUGAACCAGCCAAGUAGCGUGAAGGAUGACUGCCCUAUGGGUUGUAAACUUCUUUUAUAUGGGAAUAAAACGUUCCACGUGUGGGAUUUUGUAUGUACCAUAUGAAUAAGGAUCGGCUAACUCCGUGCCAGCAGCCGCGGUAAUACGGAGGAUCCGAGCGUUAUCCGGAUUUAUUGGGUUUAAAGGGAGCGUAGGUGGAUUGUUAAGUCAGUUGUGAAAGUUUGCGGCUCAACCGUAAAAUUGCAGUUGAAACUGGCAGUCUUGAGUACAGUAGAGGUGGGCGGAAUUCGUGGUGUAGCGGUGAAAUGCUUAGAUAUCACGAAGAACACCGAUUGCGAAGGCAGUUCACUGGACUGCAACUGACACUGAGGCUCGAAAGUGUGGGUAUCAAACAGGAUUAGAUACCCCUGUAGUC
rnacentral:rRNA from 1 species